rnacentral:rRNA from 1 species
AAAAAAGGUAAGCUACUAAGAGCGAAUGGUGGAUGCCUUGACUGGUAAAGGCGAUGAAGGACGUACUAGACUGCGAUAAGCUACGGGGAGCUGUCAAGAAGCUUUGAUCCGUAGAUUUCCGAAUGGGGCAACCCAAUGUAUAGAGAUAUACAUUACCUAUAUAGGAGCGAACGAGGGGAAUUGAAACAUCUUAGUACCCUCAGGAAAAGAAAUCAAUAGAGAUUGUGUCAGUAGCGGCGAGCGAAAGCGCAAGAGGGCAAACCCAGUGCUUGCACUGGGGGUUGUAGGACUGCAAUGUGCAAGAGCUGAGUUUAGCAGAACAUUCUGGAAAGUAUAGCCAUAGAGGGUGAUAGUCCCGUAUGCGAAAAACAAAGCUUAGCUAGCAGUAUCCUGAGUAGGGCGGGACACGAGGAAUCCUGUCUGAAUCCGGGUCGACCACGAUCCAACCCUAAAUACUAAUACCAGAUCGAUAGUGCACAAGUACCGUGAGGGAAAGGUGAAAAGAACUGAGGUGAUCAGAGUGAAAUAGAACCUGAAACCAUUUGCUUACAAUCAUUCAGAGCACUAUGUAGCAAUACAGUGUGAUGGACUGCCUUUUGCAUAAUGAGCCUGCGAGUUGUGGUGUCUGGCAAGGUUAAGCAAACGCGAAGCCGUAGCGAAAGCGAGUCUGAAUAGGGCGCUUAGUCAGAUGCUGCAGACCCGAAACGAAGUGAUCUAUCCAUGAGCAAGUUGAAGCUAGUGUAAGAACUAGUGGAGGACUGAACCCAUAGGCGUUGAAAAGCCCCGGGAUGACUUGUGGAUAGGGGUGAAAGGCCAAUCAAACUUCGUGAUAGCUGGUUCUCUCCGAAAUAUAUUUAGGUAUAGCGUUGUGUCGUAAUAUAAGGGGGUAGAGCACUGAAUGGGCUAGGGCAUACACCAAUGUACCAAACCCUAUCAAACUCCGAAUACCUUAUAUGUAAUCACAGCAGUCAGGCGGCGAGUGAUAAAAUCCGUCGUCAAGAGGGAAACAACCCAGACUACCAGCUAAGGUCCCUAAAUCUUACUUAAGUGGAAAACGAUGUGAAGUUACUUAAACAACCAGGAGGUUGGCUUAGAAGCAGCCAUCCUUUAAAGAAAGCGUAAUAGCUCACUGGUCUAGUGAUUUUGCGCGGAAAAUAUAACGGGGCUAAAGUAAGUACCGAAGCUGUAGACUUGCGCACAACUUAGAUUAUUUAAGUUUAGAAUAUGAGAAACUAAGUUAUAUUUUUACUGAUUUUUAUAGAGUAAAGAUAGAAAUAAAACUUAGUAAAAUCAGUAAAAAUAUUCUUAGGCUAAAGUUAAGUAGUUUAAGUUGUGUGCAAGUGGUAGGAGAGCGUUCUAUUUGCGUCGAAGGUAUACCGGUAAGGAGUGCUGGAGCGAAUAGAAGUGAGCAUGCAGGCAUGAGUAGCGAUAAUUAAUGUGAGAAUCAUUAACGCCGUAAACCCAAGGUUUCCUACGCGAUGCUCGUCAUCGUAGGGUUAGUCGGGUCCUAAGUCGAGUCCGAAAGGGGUAGACGAUGGCAAAUUGGUUAAUAUUCCAAUACCAACAUUAGUGUGCGAUGGAAGGACGCUUAGGGCUAAGGGGGCUAGCGGAUGGAAGUGCUAGUCUAAGGUCGUAGGAGGUUAUACAGGCAAAUCCGUAUAACAAUACUCCGAGAACUGAAAGGCUUUUUGAAGUCUUCGGAUGGAUAGAAGAACCCCUGAUGCCGUCGAGCCAAGAAAAGUUUCUAAGUUUAGCUAAUGUUGCCCGUACCGUAAACCGACACAGGUGGGUGGGAUGAGUAUUCUAAGGCGCGUGGAAGAACUCUCUUUAAGGAACUCUGCAAAAUAGCACCGUAUCUUCGGUAUAAGGUGUGGUUAGCUUUGUAUUAGGAUUUACUCCGAAAGCGAAGAAACUUACAACAAAGAGUCCCUCCCGACUGUUUACCAAAAACACAGCACUCUGCUAACUCGUAAGAGGAUGUAUAGGGUGUGACGCCUGCCCGGUGCUCG